ACAGCAGACAGGAUGAGGGCCACCUCAUCGCCCUCGGCCACUAGGAAAGACGCAGGGUGACAGGGAGGGGGGCUGUCAGAGGCUGGGAAUGCUGCGCGCACGGCCGCAGUCAUCAUCCCCGUCAGUACGGUUUCAGGGUAUUUCCUGUGCCUCAUCCCCCACCCAGGGAAGGUGGAAAGGCCCUGUCCGGGAAGGCACAGGCGCAGCGACAUCCAUGGUCAUGUGCUGUGUCAUGUGACAGUGUCUCGGUACGCACAUACCGCAGUGCACAGAGAGACACAGUUCAGGUGGCAGCGGGGAGAGUUACUCAGCUCACGCUGGAGAAUCCCUCCGCUCCUCUAAUAGAACAGCAAACGGAAGGGGAACCACGUCACACAUGCCACUGUGAGGCCGGUGAGAGGGGUGCGGAAUCCACCUCCCCCGGGACACGAGCAGGCUGGGGACACAGAGGAUGCAAAAUGAAUCUGUAAGGAGGUUCCAGCGUUUCAUUGGGUGCUCCAGUCUGUGGAGGAGAGCACUGCCCACUCCUCGAGGCAGACACGGCAUCUCCUUACCAACACUGCCGUGUGCCUGAGCCUGGCCCAGCGCCUGUCACAGGACUACAGAGCCGGAGGAGCAGAGCCAAGUGCUCCAGGCACCACAAGCCGGCCCUGGACGUCCCUGCUGCCGCAGGAUCUCUCUGCUCGCCUUGCUGUGGCUUCUCCACAGAUCAGACAAACCCAAUUCAUGCAGUUGCUUGAGAGACUACUGAAAUCCUUCUCCAAA